AGCAGCCGCGGUAAUUCCAGCUCCAAUAGCGUAUAUUAAAGUUGUUGCAGUUAAAAAGCUCGUAGUUGAACCUUGGGCCUGGCUGGCCGGUCCGCCUCACCGCGUGCACUGGAUCCGGCCGGGCCUUUCCUCCCGGGGAACCGCAUGCCCUUCACUGGGCGUGUCGAGGAACCGGGACGUUUACUUUGAAAAAAUUAGAGUGUUCAAAGCAGGCCUUCGCUCGGAUACAUUAGCAUGGAGUAAUAGAAUAGGACGCUGCGGUUCUAUUUUGUUGGUUUCUAGAACCGCCGUAAUGAUUAAUAGGGACAGUCGGGGAGACUGGUAUUCAAUUGUCAGAGGUGAAAUUCUUGGAUUUAUUGAAGACCAACUACUGCGAAAGCAUUUCACAAGGAUGUUUUCAUUAAUCAGUGAACGAAAGUUAGGGGAUCGAAGACGAUCAGAUACCGUCGUAGUCUUAACCAUAAACCGUG
rnacentral:rRNA from 1 species